rnacentral:lncRNA from 1 species
ACUUCUGGAAUUUUCUAAAGUAAGUCAGUGACAAAUUUAUUGUGAAUGCUGAGAAAUUAUAAUAAUUAUAAUCAAACAACAUUAGGACUGAAAACAGUACAAUCAACUUGAGACUUCUAAUAUUCUCAAGUUAUAAAGACUAUACUCUUUUAUCUUGGACCCGAGACCAAGAAAAAUGCAUGUGUCUUUGGUUACCAAAACAUACUAAAGAAAUUCUUCAAAGAAAUAGAAAAGCUGAAGAAGCCAUUUUUUUUCAUGCAGCUUUCUGAAAGGGAUAAAGUCUUACAAGUUGAAUGAAUAAAGCAAUGAAAUGGUAAUCACAACACUGGAAUAAAACAUUGCCACUUGUCAAGUCCAGGAUGAGCACAGAAGUCCCUGAGAAAGAGCAGAUGGUUUUCUCAACUCAAGGACACAUGAUGGAAGGACAGAGGGUUUGUGGGAAACCAGGAAGUUGUGACCAAAACCACAGACC